GUAAGUUCUUAUUAAUGGAGGUGUAGGUGGGGUUUUAAGUAAUAAAGAUACUUUCUCCACCUUCUUGCCCCUCUACCAUCUAAAUGCUGAGAACUCAGGUCCUAGGGAAUGGCAAACCAUGCAACAGAAGGAAGCCUCCUAUGUAAACCCACAUAUGGAAGAAAGCCUCUGAUUGACCAGAGAAGACUCUUACAUGAGCAAGAAAUGUGCUUCUAUUGUGUCAACAACUGAGUUUUGGCUUUGAUACAGCAGUUCACAUUGCCCUAGUUAAUGUACUGGGAGGUGGAAGGAAAUACGGGGCAAAAGAACAGAUGAGAGAUGUCAAAAAGUAUGGAUUGAUGGGUCAAAAGUUAGGGGACACACAGCCAUGUCAUCUGAACCAGAAAAGAACCUGGAACCAAAAAAAAAUCAGUCCUUUUGCUCGGGGACUGAGGGGACCAGCAGACACAGCAUCCUUCACACCAUGCCCUCCUUCACCCUGCCUUCAUUCAAUUGCUAAACGUGCCUCGUUCUGCUAAGUGUUCAGGUGGUAUCUACUUCUCUCCAUUCUCACUGGCAGUACCUGGGUGGUCAUCUUCAUCUGUUGGCUGGAUUAUUUCAAUACUCUGUAACUAGUCCUAUGUUCUGUUAGUCACCCCUUUUUCCCCUCACAGAUCCAUUCUCCAUGCUGCAGCCGGAAUCAUCUUCCUAACACACAAAUGGGAUUAUGACCCACUCCUUAGGCCCUGGCUUGAACCCUUCAAUUAAUUCUCAGUGUGAUUACAAUAAAAUUCAAAACUCUAUGUGGCCCUGCAUGAUAUGGCCUGUGUUUCAGCUGUCACCUCUCCAGUCCUUAGACUCUGUGUUUCAGCCACUGUGAACUUCUUUUGGCUCUCUGAGUGGGUCACACUUCUCUUGCCUCUUGUCCAUCACAUAAGACACUCCCACUUCCCAAAUGUCCUUCCCCUUCUCUCCUCUCCAUGUGCCUUCCUACCAACAGUUUGACUCCCACUCAACCUAGCUGUCACCUUUUCUGGGAAGUUUUCUCUGACAUAUUCAGACUGAAUUAACUUCUUAUUUUCUGUCUGUCCUUAGUACCCUGUUCAUUUCCCUAUCAAAGCACUGUCAUACUCUACUGAAUUUUCUGUCUGUAUCUUUGGUUAGACUGAUGCUUGAGGGCAGAAACACCUCAAUCACCAUUAAAUCUGAGCACUUCAUGGAUAUUUGGUACAGAGAAGAUGUUCAGUACUUUUUUUUGCUUGUUUUUUAGCUGGGUGGAUGGGUGGGACAAAUACCUGUUUGAUACAAGCCAAAGAAAAGGUCAUACAUAGGCAAUAAGCAAUGUUGGUUAACCAUUAGUGAAAAUAGAAUCACAUUUUUUUCAUACAUUUAUUUAUUUAUUUAAUCUGAUCCAUAAAUAUCUUUUAACAUAUGAUUUUCCAAAGUUGCUGUGUUUGACUCUUUUAAAGGAUUUGACUGAUUUGCUUAAUUAUUUGUUUGUUUGUUUGUUUGUUAAUAUGUGAGUAGACAAGCCAGCACAUCUUUCUCACUCUCUACAAGCCAGGACUGGAAGAAAUCUGGUUGUUGGCUUAGGAGGGAUGAACCACGCACUGGGUUAAGACCUUGGCUCUGGAGUCAGAGCGUCUGAGUUUAGUUCUGCCAUGUGAUUUACCAACCAUGUGAUCUCAGGUGAUGAAUUAAUGUUUCUGAAGUCCUUAUCAGAGUGCCUAGUACAUAUUAAGAAUGCAACAGUGGGUAGCAAUAUCAUCAAUGUUAUAUUCUCCACAAAAAUUAACUUUAUCAUUAUCCUUCCUUAAUAUUGUUGUUAGACUGUGACUGACGCAUCACGGGGGGCGGGGGUUGUACACUGUGUGCAGGAAAAGUAACCAGAAACAUCAGCCCUAUGAGAUCAUCAGGAAAGACCUAAUGCUUCUCACUGGACAGACAAGAAAACCCACACUCAGCAGGGUUAGGAGACCUUCUCCAAGUCACGUAGCUAGUAAGGGCAGAGCUGAGAGUCAAACCAGAACCUCUGAUUCCAAAGCCAGUUCUCUUUCCACUACACUGCACGGCCUCUGGGUGUUAGCAUUUCCAGGUCCCACCUACUUCCAAAUAUCUAAGGUCAAAUAGGACUUUGGAUUCCAAAUAUGCACACUGGGACUGCCUGUUCCCUUCUCUCCAUUCACAGGUAUGUGGCAUUGUGGGCCCAUGGGGCAUUCUGCCCAGGCUUCAGAGCUCUCGGAUGUGCCUCCCUUCCCCAAGCUGUCUUCUCUGUCAAGGGCACAGAGUGGUUCCCAUAGAGACCAAAGUAACCUUUCACAGAGUUGUUUCUGCGUCUCUCCCUGGGAAUGGGCUGGGAUUGCUAUCAAUCUCUUGCACUUCAGAAGUCCAGAGAAACCAAGGCUUUUGUGCUUUGUAGACACAUGCCACAAAAACUGAGCACACUUACCAACUGAACAAACAUCAGAGUGUGCCAAAUCUCUAAAGUCCGAUUCUUAGUGCAAACUGCCAAAGCAGGUAACACUUACAGUACUCAGAAGGUCAUAAAUCGUCUAAGCUCGAUAGCACCUGAGGCCUCUUCUAGUCUGAACUAUUUAUUUUGCAAAGGAGGAAAUAUGGGCAUAGAAAUGGGCAGGAACAAAUGUCCAGGCUUUGGUGAUAGUGGUUGUGGGGUGUCUCCUGGGUCCCAUUCCGUCAUCCUUCUCAUUACACCCAUAUACGUCUUCCUGGAGCCUCAUCAUAAUUGGAUACCCCUUACAGAGACCAGCUGCCUGAGACAUAGACACCUGCUCAGGACGUUGGCUAUCACUAUGGGGAGGCAUUUUGACACAGGCCAUUGUUAGUGAUUGGGAACACCUCCUAAAAAUGAGAUGGUCUGAAGGGGUCCCAGUACUUGGGGGCUGUGUGUAAUAGGAGCCUUAAGAGAGGCUCCUAGACUAUCUCUUGAUUGCCUGUAUUAUAUUUUGUGAGAAUGUAAACCUACCUCACUAUGAAUUUUAGCAAAAUAAAAUUUAAAAGAAAACAACCAAAUGAAAAGAGGUGUCAUACAGAAAAGAAGUAUGGACAAUUCUAGCGAUGUUUCAAGAAUAGUGUUCAUCACUGGUUCUCCAGUACACAGAGAAAUGUGCUGGAGAGGUUCAUUAGGAUUCUUGAGUCAAGCCAAAGGCUACAAUCAGGCAUGUGGUUUCAGGCAUCCAGUAGCAGAGGUUAGCUCUAGAGUGGGGCCGGAAAUAAACAUUGCCCCAUGUACCUACCCUACCCUUAGCUUAGUGCCUCCCAGUAGGUGGAAGGGAAAUCUUAAGGAACCAAGAUGGGUUGAUCAAUUCCAGGAAGCUUUGAUGUUUUCAAAAUCCCAUAGGAUAUUGAAGUCAUAGAACUUCCCAGGGGGUUCCUGAACCAGAAUUCGCUUCAAUCAGACAGACAGGGAACAUAUCUACUGUCCUCUGUUCUCCACAUUUUCUCAUCUUCUGAACCUCCACUUCCAGUCCUAAAUCAGAGAUAGGCAACUCCCUGCAGUACGGCGAUACCACAUGCCAGAGGGCUAAAGGAGUUCUCUCUAUUGCACAGGACCAUUCACAGGCAAUGGAGUGAGUCUGAGGGGGAUCUGAAGGGGAAAAUUGCCUUUUGAGCAUACUAAAUUCCAUCCCAUUUAAGGCAGGAGACAGUGUCUCUUUAUUCUUAAGCUUCCAUUAUCCUCCUUGGUACCCAGUGCGUGGAAGAGACUGAAUAAACAUCUGACGGAUGACUAGGUAAAUGAAUGAAUGAAAGAAUAAAGUGAGUGUUUGAGUUAGUUAGAAAAAGAGUGAACUAUAUAGGCUAGAGAAUGACUGCCAAAAAAACCACAAGGGCAUUGCAAAAUCUCCAUAAUACACACAUAAAUGUUCAUGCAUUCUAUGAUGGAGAAAGAAGUUCAUCUGUUUAUAUAAUUCCUAUCAAAACUGUAUUUCCUCUUAUGUUUUUUACUUUCUUGAACUCUUUAAAACAAGAAACUUUUAACUCUUUUGUUCUCUGAACAUUUAAAAUAACUUUUUGGUGUUAUUUCUUUCGUUUUUUCUAGCCAGUGAAAUAUUUAUCCCAAUGAGCUGUUUUUCACUUAACCUUGCUUAGUGUCUUUGUCUGUAGUCACCACUUGGCCUUUUCACUACUAUAUGCAUUAACACCCAGGUAGGAAAGAGACAAAUGGAAGCAAAAUAGCAAAAUGGUGAAGAGGAGGGUUCUAGAGGCAGAGAGCCCUGCAGUCCUGAGUCCUGAGUCCACCGUUUAACAGAGUGACUUUGCUCAGCCUGUGGAUUAUAAUGAAACUUGCCUGUAAGUUAUAGGAUCCAGUUUUUUAGGUGGUAGCAACAUGCUCAAGGAAGAUGCAGCCCCUUCCUCCAGCCUGAGAGAAUAAAGCAUCAUUGGCUUAUGCCAACCAUGGCAAUCCCAUUCCCCUUUUCUCAUGAUUGAUUUGGGAAUGGGCAAGUGACCCAGUUCUAACCAAUGAGACGAAAGAAAAAGUCUAUUGGUCAGCUUAUCUCAGAAGAUUUUUGUUUCCUGCUAUAAAGAGAAACAGUAAGUUCCUUCCUGCCUGACUUAAAUGCAAUUGUGUGCAAACAUGUUACUUGGAGCUACAGCAACGAUUCUGUGACCAUGAGGCAAUAAGCCAAGGACAAAGGAUAGAAUAGUGAAAAGACAGAGUAUUGGAUUUUUUUUAUGAUAUCAUUGAACUGCUGGACCAAUGUGGAACCAUCUACUUUUAGUCUUUCAUGAUUUGUGAGAUGAUUAAACAUUUCUUUUUUUUAGCCAUUAUUUCUUUUCUGUUACUUGCAACUGAAGACAUCCUACAUAAUACAAACACUAUCCAACUUGGAUUGUAAUUUAUCUAUUUUCAGAUCUGUGUGUUCUGUCUUACUGAUUUUUGUAUUCUUAGCACUGAGUAUAAGGCUGCUACUUAGUAAGACUUCAAUAAAUGACUGUUUAAAAAGGUCUUAGAGGAUUUAAAAAAAAUUCUGAAGUUGCUGAAAUAUGAAGACCAGGAACCAAUUUCAGGUUCUAUAAAUUUCUCGCUUCCUUCACUUCUGGAGUAGUCUUCAUUUCUGUCUGAUUCUACCUUUACUAAAAUGAAUGAAUGAUUGAGAAAUACGAAAAAUGGCUGGUAUAGUGGCUACUGCUGAGAAGUAUCUCUUGGAAAUUCCCGGAAAUUCCAUCAGUCACAUUCAGACCUAACUCUCUGAUGAUCAAUGUUUCUGAACUCAAACCAGUGUACAUAAGCAGUGGACUAUUUAAAGUGGUAUUAGCCUAGAAUAUCUAGGACCCAUGUUUUAUGCAUUCAGUAAGCGUUUGUUUAAUGUCUGUUAUCUACCAGGCACAUUAUUAUGCAUUGGGCAUAUAGAGAUGACCAACCACACGGCCUCAAUCCUUGAAAAGCUUACAGUAACCAAAUAGGGUUAACGGCCUAAAGAGAGGUAAUUACAAGUCUUACACUCAGUCUUCUUAGCAUAGUAUGGUGCUACCUCUGAGUUAAUUAAGAUAACAAAAUUCCUAGAUAUAUAUCUUUGAUGAAACGGUUUCCAUGAAAACUUUCCAAGUUUGGUCCCUCCCCGGCUGAGUUCAUUUUGGAAGGUGACUUUCUGCUCUCAUCACCUAAGGUCCUUAACACGUAUCCUGUGUUCUCCGGAGGCACCCCUUGCCCAGAGUGUGCCCUCUGCAUGGUUCCCCCAGAACACCUAUUUCAAAGGAAAAGAAGUUGGAUCAUUCAGUGAAGAUUUGGGGGGCCACUUUUCUACGUGGGAGGAUUAUGAGUAUUACCUUCCUCCCCUAUGUAUUAGUAAAUAUAAAGAAAACAUAAAUUAACCCCCUUUCUGGCUGGGCACGGUGGCUCACGCCUGUCAUCCCGCACUAUGGGAAUCCGAAGUGGGCGGAUCACUUGAGGUCAGCAGUUUGAGACCAGCCUGGCCAACAUGGCAAAACCCCGUCUCUACUAAAAUAUAAAAAUUAGCCAGAUGUGGUUGCACACAUCUCUAGUCCCAGCUACUCGGGAGGCUGAGGCACAAGAACUGCUUGAGCCUGGGAGCAAGGGUUGCAGUGAGCUGAGAUUGUGCCAUUGCACUCCAGCCUGGGUGACAGAGCAAGACUCUGUCUCAAAAAAAUAAAAUAAAAUAAAAAUAAUUUAGACCCCAUUCUUCUUAGAUAACCAUGACUUCUGAAGGAGGUCAGAGCUCUUGUGCUCUGCAUCUCUGCUCCAUCAGCCUCAAGGCCACCUUUCAGGUCCACAUGAAAUAUAAGUGCACAAAGGCACCAGACUUAGCAUUAUUAGUUUCCCCCACUGGUCUGAUUUUUGUAGAAAUUGCCAGGAACUGAUUUUCUGCCCUUCCUUCCUAACAGACAAGCCUUCCAGCCCUCCCUGACACAGCUCUUCCCUAUCUCCUACUCUCUGGUCAUCAAGCUUUUAGAGAUGCCCUGGCCUUCUCUAGUUGCCCCAGCUGUAUUUUUUCUUCUUGGGAAUGCGUUGAUUCCAGAGCCUGACUGGGAAUAAAUCUCAGCUCCUCCAUUUAGCAGUUAUGGGAUUCAAGUUACUCUUACUCCCAGGGACUCAGUUUCUGCACCUGUAAAAUGGAGAUUUACCACCUUUCGUUCCAGCAUUACUGAUAUUGUUUGGCUCUGUGUCCCUACCCAAAUCCCAUCUCGAAAAUUAAUCCCUAUAGUCCCCACCUGUUGAGGGUCCUGGUGGGAGGUAAUUGGAUCCUGGGGGCGGCUUUUCCCAUGCUGUUCUCGUGAUAGUGAGUAAGUUCUCACGAGAGCUGACGGUUUUAUAAGUGUUUGACAGUUUCUCCUUCACACGCUCUCUCUUCUGUCUCCUGCCAUCAUGUAAGAUGUGCCUGCUUCUCCUCCUCUCAUGAUUGCAAGUCUCCUGAGGCCUCCUCAGCCAUGAAGAACUGUGAGUCAAUUAAACCUCUUUCUUUUAUAAAUUACCCAGUCUUGGGUAUUUCUUUGUAGCAGUGUGAAAACAGACUAAUGCAAUUACCAUAAUGGGCUUUCAAUUGAUGAACUUGCAUCACUGACUCCUCAACACGCAGCUGACUUCCUACUGUAAUUGUUCACCAUGCAGACAUUUGUGGAGCCACAAGCAUAACCAUCAUGGUAUUUAAGAUUCGUUCUGUAUCUGGAUUUAUGCAGUUUAUGAAAAAUCAUCAAACUGUCCUUAUUAUUGGUGUCUUUUUUCUGUAUAUAUGUUAUGCUUCAAUAAAAUAUUUACUUAAAAUUAUUUUAGGUAUGUUAAACUCACUACACCAGACAGGGCUUACCUUCUCACUCUGCUGUCUUUAUCCCUCUCUCUAAUUAAAAGGAUUACAC
rnacentral:lncRNA from 1 species